CAAGUUCUAAAUUAAUAGAAGAGUUAAAAGGGGUUCUCCAAUUUUCAAAAUCACCAACUCAGCUUCUCCAAUGUUUUACAAAACCAAAAGACUUUCAUGUAAUAAAACCCAAAAUGGUUACACUCUUCACUAUAAAUACGACCUAAUUUAUGUCAUUUUUGUCGGUUGAUUGUAUAGAAGAGCUGCUCCACUACUUUGACUGUUUAUGCCUAAAUUCAUUAAGACUUUACAAAAUUAGCUCUGCCAGACUCAUGAAACGGUGCAAGAUUCCAAACAAAUUAAGUACCCUGAAAAUCAAAUCGCAAAAAUUGAUCUAUAUCCUACUUGAUGAAAUAGAAUAAGC
rnacentral:lncRNA from 1 species